CUCUUUUCUCUUUCUCUCUUUCACGAUGUUUUCUGGAAAAAACAGAGAAACAACAACCACCAAAAACUUGCCUCACUUUCUCGGUUUCUCUCACGGUACUCUCGGUUUCUCCAAUGAAACGAACACAACAACAGCAGAAACAAAACUCUCUUUCGUUUCUUUUUAUCCCUCUUGCGAGUUUGCUCUGAACAACAAUGGCAACUCGGUUUUACGGCGGCCAUGGAGGAGAAACAGAAGGAAAAAAUCCGGGUAUAACAUAUUCACAGCAAUAAUUUAAUGGUAACUUUGGAAGUGAAAAUGAGAAAGCUUACCUACGGCGAGGAGGUGUUCGCCGGAUUUUGUGUUGAGGUACAACAAUGGUUAAAUGAAAUAUUGAGAGUGAAGGAAGAGAGACUUACCGGCAAGGAGUUUUUCGCCGGAUUAAUUGCUGUGGCUCUUUGAUGAAGGUGAUGCCACAACACCUCUUUUGGAUUGUGGGAGACUUGAAGAUGAAGAUCUUCAAGUGAGGUAUGAAGAACUACCUCUCCCUUCUUUGUAACUAUGGAACUUCUUGAAAAUUAUGAUAAGAGAGAAGUGAGAAAACUAGUAAUAUAGUAGCUUUGGUGUGUUUUGCUUCAAUGAGAGAACUUCCUAUUUAUAGGCAAAGUUAAGGGAGUGUUUGGCAAUUGGUAAUCUUGAUUGGCAAGUUUCAAUCAUUGCAAGAUAAGAUAAAGAAUAAGAAUAUUCUUUAUGAGAUUUUUCUCUUGCAAGUGGACAUGAAAUAUCUUUGUUCCUUUUGUCUUGAAUUAUUUCUUUUUUUGAAUUAUUUCUUUUGUUGGAUUUUUGCUAAUCUCACCCCUUUUUGUUUCUUUUUUUCAUGUGACAUGAUCAUUCUUGAGGAAAGCAUGAAGAAAAUUGAUUUGAAGAAUGGAGACUUUGAAGAUUUCAAGAGUGAAUUCAAGAAUGUCUUUGAAGUUUUUUUCUUGUAAUUCCUUGUAAUUCCAACUUUGUAUGAAUGGAACUUUGAAAUGA